rnacentral:RNase_P_RNA from 1 species
GGCAGAGGGAGCCCGGCCACCGUGUCCCGGCCCGCGGCGACGCAGUCGCCACGCCAGGGACAUGAGGAAAGUCCCCCCACCGUCCGGGCAGGUGACCGGGUGCAAACCCGGAGCGGGAGACCGCUGGCGCUGGAACAGAAACGAGACCCCUCUCCCCGACCGAUGAGGCGCGCGAACCCCGAGCGCCACGGGAGAGAACGGAUGGAACGGCGAAUCCUCACCGGUGCAAGCCCGCGCGACAGGUAGCCCGGACGCGGCGCGGGCGCUCAGCCGAAUGCCGGUAGAACAGAAGGGGGCUUACUCCCCUCGGCC